rnacentral:sRNA from 1 species
GCUGGGCAUGGUGGUGCGUGCCUGUGAUCCCAGCUACUCAGGAGGCUGAGAUGGGAGAAUCGCUUGAACCCAGGAAGCGGAGGUUGCAGUGAGCUGAGAUCGUGCCACUGCACUCCCGCCUGGGUGACAGAGUGAGACUCUGUCCU